rnacentral:tRNA from 1 species
GGGCCGUUAGCUCAAUGGUAGAGCAGCUGACUCUUAAUCAGCCGGUUUGGGGUUCGAGUCCCUAACGGCUCA